rnacentral:piRNA from 1 species
UAAUCCAUUGGUCUUAGGAGCCA